GGAAACAUGCUGUGUUCAUCUAUCAGAGAUCAUCUAUUGAUCAUCUAUCAGAGAUCAUCUAUUGAUCAUCUAUCAGAGAUCAUCUAUUGAUCAUCUAUCAGAGAUCAUCUAUUGAUCAUCACCCUGUGACUGUGUCCCUCCUCUGUCUCAGCCUGGUGGUGGUCCCUGGUCUACGUCUCUGUGGGGGGUGCAGCUCUCGUGGCGAUCACACUGGGAGUCGUCGCAUGGAGGAGAACUAAAGGGAACAAAACAAAGACGCAUGACGACGCGGACGACCCUGAAGGAGGCGUGGCCUACGCCUCCGUCAGCUUCACCAAGAACACCGCCGGCAGAGCCCAGGCCGGCCUUCAUCCUGAUGAUGAGGAGGAAGGUGGCGCAGUGACCUACACCACCCUGAAGCCCCCCCGUCCCUCCGCUGCAGCUGACCCCGCCGACCUCUACGCCACCGUCACCAAACCAGCCAGAUAAGAGGUCACAUGACUGUUUGUAGCCCGAUGGAGACGUUUAGGAUCAGCGCAGGCUGCGUCAUGAAGACGUGUGGAUGUUUGCUGUGAUGCAUUAUGGGAGUUCAGGAAAGCAGACGCUUAGAGACACGUGCAUCCGUUAUACUGCGUCCCUGCAUGCACACGAUGACGGCUUCAGGGCUUCUUGUCAUUUAUUUUGUCACCAUUUAAGUGAAUGUUGCUGUUUUAGUUUGCUGAAUGUGAUUGUGUCGUGUUUUACUGAGCAAAGUUUUCAGCUUACUGGAAUAAAAAUGAUUUUCCUUGUGUGGUUUUAACCCCAUUUUGAGCUUUAUGCUUUAUUCUUUUUCAGCAUUUUUAAUUUCAAACAAAGGUUGAAUGAAAAGUCGA